rnacentral:rRNA from 1 species
CGACCGGCGCACGGGUGAGUAACGCGUAUACAAUUUGCCUUUUACUGGAGGAUAGCCAAGAGAAAUUUUGAUUAAUACUCCAUAGUAUUAUUAGACCACCUGGUUUGAUAAUUAAAGCUCCGGCGGUAAAAGAUGAGUAUGCGUCCUAUUAGCUAGAUGGUAAGGUAACGGCUUACCAUGGCGACGAUAGGUAGGGGUCCUGAGAGGGAGAUCCCCCACACUGGUACUGAGACACGGACCAG